rnacentral:lncRNA from 1 species
GUGGGUUGCCACCCUCCAUGCCCUACUAAGCGACCUUUCUGGUUCCUCAUGCCUUGGCUCGCUCACGAUGACUUCCCUCGCAUUCUCGCUGAUAUUUGGAAGAAAGAGAAGGAGCUUCCUUAAGCUCUCGGCCACCUUGCUCGCUGGUUGGGAAAGUGGAACUGGGAGGUUUUCAGCUACAUCCUCACCCAUAAGCGUGCACUCAU